ensembl:misc_RNA 7SK 7SK RNA
GGAUUUGCCUGCGUGUCACCUCUCCAUGUGACCACUCAUGUUAAAGGACCCCUUAGAUCCCCUGCAAGAACCUUCAAACAAGCUCUCAGGGUCCGUUUGUGGGAGAACGUAGGGUAGUGGAGCUUCUAAGACUCCAGACACAUCCAAAUGAGACACUGCACGUGGCAGUCUUUCUUUCUUU